GUUGAAGAACGUAGCGAAAUGCGAUAAGUAAUGUGAAUUGCAGAAUUCAGUGAAUCAUCGAAUCUUUGAACGCACAUUGCGCCCGCCAGUAUUCUGGCGGGCAUGCCUGUUCGAGCGUCAUUACAACCCUCAGGCCCCCGGGCCUGGCGUUGGGGAUCGGCGGAAGCCCCCUGUGGGCACACGCCGUCCCUCAAAUACAGUGGCGGUCCCGCCGCAGCUUCCAUUGCGUAGUAGCUAACACCUCGCAACUGGAGAGCGGCGCGGCCAUGCCGUAAAACACCCAACUUCUGAAUGUUGACCUCGAAUCAGGUAGGAAUACCCGCUGAACUUAAGCAUAUCAAUAAGCGGAGGA
rnacentral:misc_RNA from 1 species